rnacentral:rRNA from 1 species
UACGGAGGGUGCAAGCGUUGUUCGGAAUUAUUGGGCGUAAAGGGCGUGUAGGCGGUUCGUUAAGUCUGAUGUGAAAGCCCCGGGCUCAACCUGGGAAGUGCAUUGGAAACUGGCGAACUUGAGUACGGGAGAGGGCAGUGGAAUUCCUAGUGUAGGAGUGAAAUCCGUAGAUAUCGGGAGGAACACCAGUGGCGAAGGCGGGUCUCUGGGCCGAUACUGACGCUGAGGAGCGAAAGCGUGGGAGCGAACGAG